CGCCCAGCCCAGCCCUGCCCUGCCGAGCCCGCCGGUCUCCGGGCCGCCACACCGUCCCUGACACUGCCCCGGCCGGGAGCUGCGGGGGCCGGUCCGGCGGCUCUCGCCCGGCCACGGGGGCGACCCACCGCGGCAGCUUUUCUUCCACGAGUCCCCUCGUACCUCCUGAGCUCCCCGCUGCCCGCGCCGGGACCCGCUGCACCGGGUGGCCGCGGUCUCUCGCCUCCCCCCGCCGCCCGCGCCGCCGCCAGGCGCGGCCCCCCCGCUCCGGCCCCGGCCCCGGCCCCGGCCCUGCCCCCGGGCGCUCCCGCCGAGCCCCGCUCCGCUCCGCCGGCAGCCCGGGCGCAGGGGCGGCGGUGGCAUCCGCGGCCGGCAGCGGGGCUGGGCUGGGCGCCGGGAGCAGCCGCAGGGAAGAAGAGCAGCCGGGAGCAGCGGCGGGACCCGCAGCCCGCCCGCCGCCGAGCUCGGCGCGGACGAUCGGCACAUCCCCGUUCCGCCGGGGGCGGCUUUGCCAACCCCCCCACCGCCUCCCCGCCUCCCUCCGUCCCUCCUUCCCUCCCUCCUUCCUUUCCUCCCCGCCCCUCCGGAGCGACAUCCCUGCGAGUUUGCCUGGCUGCCCGCGCCCGUCGCCGGGCGCUCGCCGCCGCAUCUCUGUCUCCAUCAACUCCUGGGAGCCGCCGGCGGAGGGCAGGAUCCAGAAGUUGCGGCCAGCCCGGGUGGAAAAGUAGCGGCAGAGCGGAAGAGGCCGGAGCCCGGCGCAGCCCGGCCCAGCCGAGCGGGGCCGGCGCGGCUGCCGCCACCCGCAGCCCCCGGCCGGGGCUUGCCCCGCGCCCCGGGCCGCGCCGGCCGGGGCAGAGCGACGCAUCCCCGCGGGAGCCGGCGCGGAGCCACCGCGGAAGAACCUACAGGCAAAGUGAAAGGAAAUCUGAAACUGCUCUUCUUAGAAGAAAGUAUUGGCUUUCUGCCUCUUCCACAUGUUUUCCUUUUGCAUCAUAAUGGAAGGAGCAGGAUUUUUUGAAUCAUCAAGGCCAAAUUUGGGCAUCAGUAGCUGAAGAAAAGAUUAAAAAAGACUUGAAAAUAUGUAUGACUCUUAAUUCAGAUGCAUCUUUCACAAACAGAGAGGAAUAGGGGUUAAAUGCACUGCAGAGUCGUCAAAAGGAUCUAAUGGAGGAUCUAUGUUGAUUUUUUUAAAUUAUUGUUUUCCUUCCCGUCCCUCAAUGAAUCCCAAAAGAGAAAGAUGGAAAGAGUAUGUAAGGAAAUUGAGAAGAGGUGAAGACUGAAGACAAUAACUUCAAUUUUGGAGUCUAUUUUCCAAGUGUUGUGUAUUCUUUAUUUUAUCAAAUAUAACAUUGUUUUGAAUAAAUUAUAUAAUUUUGUUACCA
rnacentral:lncRNA from 1 species